GACGAACGCUGGCGGCGUGCUUAACACAUGCAAGUCGAACGGUGAAGCUCCAGCUUGCUGGAGUGGAUCAGUGGCGAACGGGUGAGUAACACGUGAGCAACCUGCCCCUGACUCUGGAAUAAGCGCUGGAAACGGCGUCUAAUACUGGAUACGAGAAGGGUCCGCAUGGGCACUUUCUGGAAAGUUUUUCGGUUGGGGAUGGGCUCGCGGCCUAUCAGCUUGUUGGUGAGGUAAUGGCUCACCAAGGCGACGACGGGUAGCCGGCCUGAGAGGGCGACCGGCAAACUUGGGAUUGGGACACGCCCAGGACUCUUAGGGGAGGAAGCGGUGGGAAUAUUGCACAAUGGGCGAAAGCCUGAUGCAGCGACGCCGCGUGAGGGAUGACGGCCUUCGGGUUGUAAACCUCUUUCAGCAGGGAAGAAGCGAAAGUGACGGUACCUGCAGAAGAAGCACCGGCUAACUACGU
rnacentral:rRNA from 1 species